rnacentral:lncRNA from 1 species
UUCAAACUUUCAAACUUUCAUUCAAUAUAUCCAAUUCCAUUCAAUACAAUUCAAUGAACAUUCAUUACAUAAUCCCAAGUCACGAUUACAUGUGGGAUCCUAUUACAUAAACCAUUUCAAUUCACAUGUUCAAAACCACCGCUCAAUUCCAAAGUUACAAACAAUUUCACACAUAUUACAUAAACCAUUCAAAUUCAUGGAGCUCUUUGUCCAUUCAAUCUCAUUUUUCCCAAAUUUCCU